rnacentral:lncRNA from 1 species
CUCAGGGAAGACCUUUUCCUGGAAUCGAGUUCAGCUCUUAGAACCCCUCCAUGGGUGGCUGAUGGAUAAAGCAAUAACGCUGACCGAGUCUUGCUCCUUUCCAUAUUAAUGGGACCAUUUGCUGUUGUGGGAUUGAAAGUAUUACAUUUCACAAGAACAUUUCUUGGAAACGAAGUUCACGUUUUCACUCAUUUGGACACAUUGAGAGAUGAUUGGAUGUGAGAUGAGGGAAGACUGGCUCAAAAAGCGGGAAUUUGCGGAGGUCUGAAUUCAAAGGAGCUGCUCCGUAAAGAGAUUGUCCAAUGGGGGGAGGGC